rnacentral:rRNA from 1 species
UACGGGGGGGGCAAGCGUUGUUCGGAAUUACUGGGCGUAAAGGGCUCGUAGGCGGCCAACUAAGUCAGACGUGAAAUCCCUCGGCUUAACCGGGGAACUGCGUCUGAUACUGGAUGGCUUGAGUUUGGGAGAGGGAUGCGGAAUUCCAGGUGUAGCGGUGAAAUGCGUAGAUAUUGGGAAGAACACCUGAGGCGAAGGCGGGUCUCUGGGCAGUAACUGACGCUGAGGAGCGAAAGCGUGGGGAGCGAACAGG